UUGCCAGAGAAGGAAGGAAGGCACGGAACCAAACAUACUUUUGUACAAAAUGGCAAGUGCAAUAAGACAACUUUGGCUGCUUGGUGUGAGGCUAGAUGCUCGUAAGAAGAACCUUCCAGACUGCACACAAGAAGAUAAACGUUUUUAGAUGUCCCUGGGAGGAAUGGGGAGGGCCCUCUUAGGCUGAAAAUAUGAGGGCAACAGA
rnacentral:lncRNA from 1 species